UCUGUUCAUUAUCACUGGUCUCUUUAACCCCACAAAUAGGAAGGAUGACCUUGCACUCUCACCUCUUCCUCUAAUUAUAAUUACAGUAAUUUGGAUAGGUGUUGUUUCUUCCUCUUUCCCUUAGUAAAUUUGGGUGUGUUCUCUCCAGCCAUACUCUGGAUCUCCUUUCAGUCUUACUCCCUAUUAUAAAGCAGAAAAGAAAAUAGAGGGAAUGGAUUUCAGGUGGGAGAGAUUUCCUUUGUCGUCUUUUCCUACUUCCUCACUUUGUCAUCCUUUCUCCAUCUGCAGACUUCAUUCUGUCUCUUAGGAUGCCACCAGGUAAUGUUCUCAUCCAAAGAGAAAAUCGAGUAACCUUUCCCUCCCUCAUUCCCAAAACAAGCUCCUCCAAUUAUUUCUGUUCCUCCAGCACACACAACACCUGAGUUACACACCCCACCCACUACCAAUUAAUUCUUUUCUUCUGGGCAUAACCCUUCGGUUACCUAUAUUAUGUGUCCACUCUUCCCGCAAAUACUUCUAUUCCUCCCAAUGCAUGUCCUCUAAUUAACUCUAUAAACACCAUAAAGAGGCUUCUUAAUCUUAUUCCUUACCCAGAAUGAAUCCUAUCAUCCACACAGCCCCCGUUAACUCUGCUUUCCCCCAUUCCUCCAAGCCAGGCUACUUCUGUCCUCAGAAAUACUUAUUUGCAGUCUGUGGGCUCAUUCUGCUCCUUCACUGACCCCUGUUUUAAGCUGUACUGGACUGAUUUGCUUUGCAAUCCCUGUCAGCUGUACAAUCAGCUGCCCUACCUGAGAUUUUUGGAAGCAGGAGAAGCAGCAGUGGCAGGAUCUUCAUUUCCUUUUCAUAAAGGUAGGGAGUGAACACAAAAUCAAAGGCCUUUUAAUCCCACUUUUGUAAGAGUGGGUGGAAGGAACUGCAGUACCACAAGGGUACUGCCUCUCCCUAAUGUGCUCAUUGGGCAUUUAGACAUCUGGAAGUGUGGGGCAGAGGGGCCAGCACUUUAAUUAAAGUGCCCAGAGGGUCUCGUGUAUCAGCAUCCCCAGUGUUCAAAAUGGCAGCGGAGGCAGUUUCUCUAAAGCUUGUUCAACUAAAGCUGUGCAUCCCACAGUGCCAGGGGAGCCUGCAGCAUGGUGCGACAUGGGAGUUGAGGUGGGGCUUCCUGUGCACUCAGUGCAGUGAUGUGUGUGUUGGAUGGCUGCCCUUCUGUGUGGUGCAGUGGGGGAAACGGGGUGCAUCUCAGGGUCUUGUGUCUCACACUGGUAUGGCCCCCAGGGGAUUUAUGAAAUGCUACAAAGUAGAUCAUAUGCUAUAUGAUUUACUUUGUAAUUGUAUCAUUUUCUGUGUGGCCCCUGCAGGCAUAAAGCCCUAGGCCAGUGAGAAGUUGGACAGCCCUUAUCUGGAAAAUGAGGAGGACUUUGAUCAGAACAAGCCUUAGGUGGAUUGACUUGUAAAAUUUUUUAUGAAGGAGCUGAGAGCAUGGAUUUAUGAUGGGUGAGCCCUCAUCUAAUAAGAGGGAGUGCAGUUUUCUUACCAUGCAAAGAAGAAGGCAAAGGCCUUUAUUCUGGAUAGAAGUUGCAUGCUUGCAGGACUCUCCAUGAGUAAUGUAAGAAAGGUAAGCUGCAGAUGCCUAUGGAACCCAAAUAAUGGCAAGCAGUUU